CCAAAAUGCUGGGAUUACAGGCAUGAGCCUGGUCUCUGAAUUUUUCUUUCAAGUUUGAGUAUUAUGAUUCUUAUAUUAGACAUGCUACUUGUCAAAAAAUACAUGCACUUACAAGUAUACACCAUAGUUUCUGGCAUUGUAGCUCAAGAGUAAGAAUAGAAGUGUGAUAGCUGAUAUUUGAAUAUGCACUACAUUGUUAGGGACUGUGAUAAGACAUAGAUCCCUGAACAUUUAAGCCCACAACCCUCAGAGGGUGCAGUUAUUUACUGCCCUCCUAAGUGAGUGCCACCUCCACACAUACCUGGCUCAUUCAUUUCUCCUGUCAUAAAUUGAUAAUUUCAAUGUCCUCCAAUUAACCCAACACUUGGGCACUUAGUUCCUAGACUUCCUCACUUAGUUCCUAGACUUCCUCUGAUUGAAUGUCCUCAUCCUUCACUUCGGCCUUAGCCAUUUGGCUCCCAUGGUCAUAUUCUAGCCUCUUGUUAUCUCUAUAGAAAUGCCUCUUCCAGUUCUUUGCCCAUUUUUGAAUCAGGUUGGUUUUUGUUGAGUUUUAGGAGUUUUCUAUAUAUUCUGGGUAUUAAUCCUUUAUCAGAUAUGUGAUUUCCAAGUAUUUUAUGUUGGGUUGCCUUUUUACUGUUGAUAAUGUCCUUUGAUGCACAAGUUUUUAAUUAUGAAGUCCAAUUUGUCUACGUUGUUGUUGUUGUUCCCUGCUCACUCUUUUGGUUUUAUAACCAAGAAAUCACUGCCAAACCCAAUGCCAUGAGGCUUUCCUUUUUUUUCCCUUUAGAGACAGGGUCUCACUCUGUGGCCUAAGCUGGAGCACAGUGACGUGAUCAUGGCUCACUGCAGCCUUGAACUCCUAGGCUCAAGUGAUCCUCCCACCUCAGCCUCCUGUGUAGCUGGGACUACAGGUGUGUGCCAUUAAUUUAAAAAAAUUUUUUUAUAGAGAUGGGGUCUCACUAUGCUGCCCAGUCUAGUCUUGAACUCCUGGGCUCAAGCAAUCCUCCCACCUUGGCCUCCCAAAGUGCUGGGAUUACAGGUAUAAGCCACCACAUGCUCCUCUUGAGUUUUAUAGUUUUAGUUCUGAUGCUUAGGUCUUUGGCCCACUUUGAGUUUUGCAUAUGGUAUUAGGUAAGGGUCCAACUUCAUUCUUUUUGUAUGUGGCUCUCUAGUUUACCCAGAACCAUUUGUUGAUAAAACUGUCUUUUCCCCCACUGAAUGGUCUUGGCACCCCUGUUGCAUAUUAUUUGACCACACAUGCAAGGGUUUAUUUCUGGGAUCUGUAUUCUAUUCCAUUGGUCUAUAUGUCUGUCUUUUAUGCCAGUACUGCACUGCUUUGAUUAAUGUAGCUUUGUAAUAACCUGAAAUAAAAAAAUGUGAGCCCUAAAGCUUUAUUCUCAAGACUAUUUCGGAUAUUUGGGGAUCCCUUGAGGUUCUAUAUGAAUUUUAGGCUAUAUUUUCUAUUUCUGUAGGAGGAAAAAGUCAUUUGGAUUUUUACAGGGAUUGCACUGAAUUUGUAGGUCA
rnacentral:lncRNA from 1 species